GCUAGAAAGCUGGUCCCGGGGGACGACGGACAACCGAUGCCAACUCCGACCUCAUAAAUGCGACUUUUCCUCUGACCAGGCCGGCGUGGGACUACAACACGGCAGAAGUUUGCUUUUAGCCCCUCAGAGCCAAAAGCUCUUCGCCUUCGAGUGGACUGACCCUAGGAGGGGCAUAAGUGGCCAACUGACAUGGACCAGACUGCCGCAGGGAUUCAAAAACUCUCCUACCCUGUUCGAUGAGGCCCUCCAUGAAGACCUGGGAUAACUUUCCUGCCCCCAACAACCUUAAACCCUGCCUCCCUGCUGCCCAACCCGGACCUGGACGCCCCGCUCCAUGACUGCACCGAGAUACUAGCUCAGGUGCACGGAGCUCGAGAGGACCUGCGGGAUCGCCCACUUCCUGACGCUGACCUAGUCUGGUUCACUGAUGGGAGCAGCUUCGUACACCAAGGCCAGAGGUACGCUGGAGCGGCAGUGACUUCAGAGACUGAGGUAAUCUGGGCGGAACCCCUCCCCCGGGAACAUCGGCCCAGAAGGCCGAACUGAUAGCGCUCACCCAAGCUCUUACCUUAGGGGCAGGGAAGAAACUGACAGUAUACACAGACAGCCGAUAUGCUUUUGCUACGGCGCACAUACAUGGGGCCAUUUACAGGGAGCGAGGGUUACUAACGGCUGAAGGAAAAGAAAUAAAAAACAAGCAAGAGAUCCUAGCCCUGUUAACAGCCCUAUGGAGAACAGAAAAAUUGGCUAUUGUACAUUGCCCAGGGUCAGAAACCAACCACUCCAAUUGCUCAAGGCAACUUUCUGGCAGACCAAAGGAGUGUGGCAAAGGCUCCCAGCCAACUCCUUGCACUCCAGCUCCCUGAUCUGGGCCCCCGGGACUUGCCAUAUCUCCCUGAUUAUUCAGAACAAGAUCUCCAGUGGAUCGACAAACUUCCCAUGAAACAGAUCCAGAAUGGGUGGUGGACUGAUACUAAUGACCAAACCAUCCUACCAGAAAAAUUAGGACAACAAGUGUUAGAACACAUCCACUGAACCACCCACCUGGGUGCCUGGCGGAUGAUAGACCUGAUCAGACGCUCCAAGCUCAAAAUCAGACAUAUAGCCAAGACGGCCAGCAGCAUCGUGACAAGUUGCAAAGUCUGCCAGCUUAACAACGCCUACCCCCAAUCCCAGGCUGCAACGGGAACAAGGCUCAGGGGAACCAGGCCCGGUAUCUACUGGGAAGUAGAUUUUACUGAGAUAAAGCCAGGAAAAUACGGGUAUCGGUACUUACUUGUCUUUGUAGAUACUUUUUCAGGGUGGACUGAAGCAUUCCCAACCAAAAGGGAAACUGCUCAGGUUGUAGCAAAGAAAAUUCUGGAAGAUAUCCUCCCCAGGUAUGGCUUCCCCGUCCAGAUAGGGUCAGAUAAUGGGCCAGCCUUCGUCGCUAAGGUAAGUCAGGAUUUGGCUUCCAUCCUUGGGGCAAAUUGGAAACUACAUUGCGCUUACAGGCCCCAGAGUUCAGGACAGGUA